UGGCGGACGGGUGAGUAAUGUCUGGGAAACUGCCUGAUGGAGGGGGAUAACUACUGGAAACGGUAGCUAAUACCGCAUAACGUCGCAAGACCAAAGAGGGGGACCUUCGGGCCUCUUGCCAUCAGAUGUGCCCAGAUGGGAUUAGCUAGUAGGUGGGGUAACGGCUCACCUAGGCGACGAUCCCUAGCUGGUCUGAGAGGAUGACCAGCCACACUGGAACUGAGACACGGUCCAGACUCCUACGGGAGGCAGCAGUGGGGAAUAUUGCACAAUGGGCGCAAGCCUGAUGCAGCCAUGCCGCGUGUAUGAAGAAGGCCUUCGGGUUGUAAAGUACUUUCAGCGGGGAGGAAGGUGAUGAGGUUAAUAACCUUGUCGAUUGACGUUACCCGCAGAAGAAGCACCGGCUAACUCCGUGCCAGCAGCCGCGGUAAUACGGAGGGUGCAAGCGUUAAUCGGAAUUACUGGGCGUAAAGCGCACGCAGGCGGUCUGUCAAGUCGGAUGUGAAAUCCCCGGGCUCAACCUGGGAACUGCAUUCGAAACUGGCAGGCUGGAGUCUUGUAGAGGGGGGUAGAAUUCCAGGUGUAGCGGUGAAAUGCGUAGAGAUCUGGAGGAAUACCGGUGGCGAAGGCGGCCCCCUGGACAAAGACUGACGCUCAGGUGCGAAAGCGUGGGGAGCAAACAGGAUUAGAUACCC
rnacentral:rRNA from 1 species